GUGGGGAAUUUUGGACAAUGGGCGCAAGCCUGAUCCAGCAAUGCCGCGUGCAGGAAGAAGGCCUUCGGGUUGUAAACUGCUUUUGUACGGAACGAAACGGUCCUGGUUAAUACCUGGGGCUAAUGACGGUACCGUAAGAAUAAGCACCGGCUAACUACGUGCCAGCAGCCGCGGUAAUACGUAGGGUGCGAGCGUUAAUCGGAAUUACUGGGCGUAAAGCGUGCGCAGGCGGUGCUGUAAGACAGGCGUGAAAUCCCCGGGCUCAACCUGGGAAUUGCGCUUGUGACUGCAGUGCUGGAGUACGGCAGAGGGGGAUGGAAUUCCGCGUGUAGCAGUGAAAUGCAUAGAUAUGCGGAGGAACACCGAUGGCGAAGGCAGUCCCCUGGGCCUGUACUGACGCUCAUGCACGAAAGCGUGGGGAGCAAACAGGAUUAGAAACCCGUGUAGUCC
rnacentral:rRNA from 1 species